rfam:Oryza rufipogon genomic scaffold, chr05
UCUGGCCCAAUUUAUAAAUUUCUGUGUUCAGCUUUAAUUGUCUGUCUUAUUUAAAAAAAUUUAUGAUUAGUAUUUUUAUUGUUAUUAGAUGAUAAAACAUGAAUAGUAUUUUAUGCGUGACUUAAAUUUUUAAUUUUUUAAAAAAAAUUUAAAUACGACGGACGAUUAAAGUUGAACACAGAUACUCAUAACUGGAGGGAGU